AGGAAAAGAAAUCAACCGAGAUUCCCCCAGUAGCGGCGAGCGAACGGGGAGGAGCCCAGAGCCUGAAUCAGCUUGUGUGUUAGUGGAAGCGUCUGGAAAGUCGCACGGUACAGGGUGAAAGUCCCGUACACGAAAAUGCACAGGCUGUGAGCUCGAUGAGUAGGGCGGGACACGUGGUAUCCUGUCUGAAUAUGGGGGGACCAUCCUCCAAGGCUAAAUACUCCUGACUGACCGAUAGUGAACCAGUACCGUGAGGGAAAGGCGAAAAGAACC
rnacentral:rRNA from 1 species